rnacentral:rRNA from 1 species
UACGAAGGGUGCAAGCGUUAAUCGGAAUUACUGGGCGUAAAGCGCGCGUAGGUGGUUUGUUAAGUUGAAUGUGAAAUCCCCGGGCUCAACCUGGGAACUGCAUCCAAAACUGGCAAGCUAGAGUACAGUAGAGGGUGGUGGAAUUUCCUGUGUAGCGGUGAAAUGCGUAGAUAUAGGAAGGAACACCAGUGGCGAAGGCGGCCACCUGGACUGAUACUGACACUGAGGUGCGAAAGCGUGGGGAGCAAACAGG